rnacentral:rRNA from 1 species
CAGUAGCCGCGGGAAUACGGAGGAUGCAAGCGUUGUCCGGAAUCAUUGGGCGUAAAGGGUCCUGAGGUGGUUUGCUUAGUCCAGUGUGAAAGUUCAGGGCUUACCCUUGAAAAUGCGGUGGAAACUAGCAGGCUAGAGUACGGUGGGGGCAGAGGGAAUUCCCGAUGUAGCGGUGAAAUGCAUAGAUAUCGGGAAGAACACCGAUGGCGAAGGCACUCUUCUGGGCCGAAACUGACACUGAAAGACGAAAGCCAGGGGAGCGAAUGGGAUUAGAUACCCCCGUAGUCCCUGUCUCUUAUAC